UUCUCUCCAACCCGUGGAACUAGGGUUGGGCAGAGUUAACUUAAAAAACCUAAACUAUAGUUUAUCUAUAUUUUUUUAUACUUAAAAAACUUAAACUAAAUUUACUAAAAACUAAUUAAACUGAUUAAUAGUACAGUUAACUGCAGUUUAGGUUUUCUAUUUCUUUUCUCAACCAGGCCUCGUUUGCUUUCUGCCUUGUUCAAAGCUCACUCGCCUAUUGAAGAUUGUUACCGUUGAAGGCUGUCGUCGUUGGAGGCCGCCGCCGUUGGAGGUUCGUUGUCGUCAAAGGUUCACUUCUAUCAUUCACUUUUGUGAUCAACGUAAAAAAUGCCUCAAACAGAUCUUGCCAAAGAACCCUCCCAUGGAGGCUCCGGUUGCCGAAAGGUGGUGGUGGGGUUGAAGAUGGACUCCCCCAGCAAGGAAUUUCUCACGUGGGCUUUGGUCAAAGUCGCUCACCCUGGUGACACCGUGGUUGCUCUGCAUGUUCUUGGGAACCAGGAAACUGCGAAUGGAGACGGGAAAUCUUCGCUGCUUUCACUUGUCAAGGCGUUUGACUAUGUUCUUGCCGUUUAUGAAGGAUUCUGCAACUUGAAAUAGGUCACCUUAAACUCAAAAUAUGUUGUGGUUCAUCAAUGAAGAAAAUUUUGGUUCGAGAAGCAAAUGGUUAUUCUGCAACUCAUGUUGUGGUCGGAACAACUCAUGGUUUGCAUAGAAUCAGGUCAUCUACCUUUGUAGCUAAAUACUGUGCUAAAAAUUUGUCCAAGGAUUGUUGUAUUCUCGCUGUUAACAAUGGGAAAGUUGUGUUCAAGCGUGACAGCUCGCCACCAAGUGUUGUUGACUUAUAAGGUGUCAAAUUGUUCUUAGUUUUGAUUGUGGGCAUUCUCACGGACAUGGUAGAAUUCUCAGGCUUGAGUUUGUUUUGCCGGUUCGAUUCAUUGGACACUCAGUAUAGUUUGCUGCAAGGAAAUCCACUUACAUUAUACUA